UUAAAAGAAUAUUGGCAGAGAAAGAGCCUUGGUGUUCCAGCAGGAGCUAAGAGGAACAGGAAAACAAAUGGCAGUAGCCCUGAAACAGCCACUUCUGGUGGUUGCCAGUCACCUGAGGAUUCAGCAACAGGUGUCCAUGGGGAGGGAUCUACAUCAUCUGCUCCCCUGAAGGAUCUGGAGAGCCCGUGCCAAGAACUAGCAGUCGUCCUGGACUCAAGGUCCGUAAAAAUCAGUAAACUGAAUAACACCAUCAAAUCUUUGAAACAACAGAAGAAACAAGUGGAACAUCAGCUGGAAGAAGUAACGUGAUUUCUUUGUUGCUCGACAUGACUGCUGGUUUGGGGGCACUCAGAUGUAGAAGCCCCAGUCUCGUCUCACCCACUCCCAGCCUGGCAAAGAAGGCUCACCCUUCAGAUUCCACCCCAUCCCCACAGGGUCCCUGAUAAACUGGUCCCAUGGGUGGGCCUGUCCUGGGGCAUUGGUGGCAUUCUG
rnacentral:sRNA from 1 species